AGCCGGUGAUGACAGACUCAAAAUCAACUUUUCUGACACCUACUAUGAGAGCUGUACUGCAGCUCCUGAUUCGAACUUUAUUCUGAGGCUU
rnacentral:snoRNA from 1 species